CCGCCACCCACCGCCGAGCGGGGCGAGGAGCGCCACUCACCUCCGCCGCCUCCCCUCGCCGAGGGGGACCCCGUGGCUGCAGGAAGGCACGGCCAGCAACCGUCGCCCCUCCUGAAGGCAGGCUCCCUGACCCUCCAACAAGUGUGAGCCAAGGGCAGACCUUCAGUGGGCACCUGGCUGCGUGUCUCCAUAUCUACAUUCAAGCUGAAACGGCACUCGAGAGCAAAAAAAAAAUCUCCCUAAAAUAUUU
ensembl:lncRNA